GAGGAAAGAGGGAGGCGUGCUUAACACAUGCAAGUCGAACGGAAAGGCCCUGCUUUUGUGGGGUGCUCGAGUGGCGAACGGGUGAGUAACACGUGAGUAACCUGCCCUUGACUUUGGGAUAACUUCAGGAAACUGGGGCUAAUACCGGAUAGGAGCUCCUGCUGCAUGGUGGGGGUUGGAAAGUUUCGGCGGUUGGGGAUGGACUCGCGGCUUAUCAGCUUGUUGGUGGGGUAGUGGCUUACCAAGGCUUUGACGGGUAGCCGGCCUGAGAGGGUGACCGGCCACAUUGGGACUGAGAUACGGCCCAGACUCCUACGGGAGGCAGCAGUGGGGAAUAUUGCACAGUGGGCGGAAGCCUGAUGCGGCAACGCCGCGUGCGGGAUGACGGCCUUCGGGGUGUAAACCGCUUUCGCCUGUGACGAAGCGGGAGUGACGGUAAUGGGUAAAGAAGCACCGGCUAACUACGUG
rnacentral:rRNA from 1 species